rnacentral:rRNA from 1 species
UACGUAGGGGGCAAGCGUUGUCCGGAAUCAUUGGGCGUAAAGAGCGUGUAGGCGGUCCGGUAAGUCGGUUGUGAAAGUCCGGGGCUCAACCCCGGGAGGCGGGUGGAUACUGUCGAGCUAGAGUCCGGAAGAGGCGAGUGGAAUUCCUGGUGUAGCGGUGAAAUGCGCAGAUAUCAGGAGGAACACCAAUGGCGAAGGCAGCUCGCUGGGACGGUACUGACGCUGAGACGCGAAAGCGUGGGGAGCAAACAGG